AGAAGUGGGCCUGUUGGAUGCCACUACCAGAAGAAGGAUAUAACAUUGCAACGUCCCUUCCAGACAAAGAAAAGAGCCUGUGUGAAGACAGCAUUGUUGGAAAACAACAAACGUUUGUGUUUUUUUUUUAUUUGUUUGUUUUGUGUGGACAUCUUUUUUUAUUUUUAAAAAACUUUAAUUUUAAGUUUGGGGUCUAAUGCAAGUUUGCUGCCUAGAUAAACUUGUGUUACGGGGGUUUGUUGUACAGAUUAUUUCAUCACCCAGGUAUUAAGCCUAGUACACAUUAGUUAUUUUUUCCUGAUCCUCUCCCUCCUCCCAUCCUCCACCUUCCAAACGGCCGCAGUGUGUCUGUGUCUUGUUCCCUACCAUGUGUCCAUGUGUUCUUAUCAUUCAGCUCCCACUUAUAAGUGAGAACAUGUUGGUAUUUGGUUUUCUGUUUCUUUGUUAGUUUGCUAGGGAUAAUGGCCUCCAGCUCCAUCCAUGACCCUGCAAAGGACAUGAUCUCAUUCCUUUUUAUGGCUGCAUAGUAUUCUGUGGUGUAUACGAACCACAUUUUAUUUAUCCAGUCUGUUAUUGAUGGGAAUUGAGGUUGAUUCCAUGUCUUUGUUAUUGUGAAUAGUAGUGCUGCAAUGAACAUACACGGGCAUGUAUCUUUAUAAUAUAAUAAUUUAUAUUCCUCUGGGUAUAUACCCAGUAAUGGGAUUGCUGGGUCGAAUGGUAUUCCUGUGUUUAGGUCUUUGAGGAAUUGCCACACUGUCUUCCACAAUGGAUGAACUAAUUUACACUCCCACCGACAGUGUAUAAGCAUUCUUUUUUUUUCUCCACCAUCUCACCAGCAUCUGUUAUUUUUUGACUUUUUAAUAAUAGUCAUUCUGGCUGGUGUGAAAUGGUAUCUCAUUGUUGUUUUGAUUUGCAUUUCUUUAAAGAUCAGUGAUGCUGAGCUUUUUUCAUAUGAUUACAACAAAUGUUUUGAUACCUCUUUUUGAACCAAAGUUCCAGGGAGGGCCAGAGUAAGGAGAGUGUUAUUGCAGAACGAGAUAUAUUGGAAACAAUGGUUCUGAUCCCAUUCCCUCUUUGAAACCCUGAGAGACAACUGCUAAUGCUAUUGGCUCCAGUGUUCAGGGGAGUGAUAGCAUAAAAAGGGAGUAGAGAGGUGGCCACACGUGCUAGCUCUGUUGAGCUGCACUUAUCUCCAGUGGGAUAUCAAGGGACCCAGCAGUUCCUAAAAGCCUUUUCUGGUGGCAGAAAGGAGAGUAGCUAAGAAUUCUCUGGGGGUAGAAUUGCCAGGGACAGGGAAAGACAGGAGUCCUGGCACACCUGCACACUGAAUUGGGACCCAGUGGGCAAGGCAAGUCUUGAUCGAGCCAAAUAAAUAGAUCAUCAUUGUGUCAGCUGCUGGCUUGAGCAGUGGGCAGCAUAGAAUGACCACUCCCAACCAGGUACAACCCUGUCACUUGGACCUUCACAGAACCCAGGCCAGGGCAGAACCAGACCAGCCAGCCACUCUGCAGUAGAGAUCAGUGAAUACCAGAGUUGGCACCUGGAGUUGUAUCCCUUUUCCCUGCUACCGUUAAGUCAUCCUAGUAAUCCUCCUUGCAGAAGAGAAGUAGGGUGGAAGAUUUGACGAGGUGAAUGUGUACAUGAAAUACGCUGUGUUACCCCAAGGAUACUCUUAACUGGAAGGAAUUGAGAGCUCUUAAACGGCAGAGUUCAGGGUUUUGUUGUUUGUGUUGUUUCUUUUUUCUACUCUUGGUGGGUUGGGUGGGAAUUCUUAGGGAGAAGAUGUCAUCAGUUAGAAAUAAGAACUAAUUUUUCUCAGUACAUUGACUAGGGGGCCAGAAUACUUAUUUGCAACUCUAGUACCUAUCAAGUACCUCAUUUAAAUUUUUACCAAAAAAAUUUUUACCUGGGUGUCUAACAAAUGAGGACACUGAAAUUUAGUGAGAGUAAGUGAUUUUUCCUAUGGCCCUUCACUGAACCAGGUGGUGAAACCUAUAUCCAAAUAAAACUUGGAAUUUGGAGUCUUAAGCCCUAUAGUAUUAAUAUUUUGUUAACUGUUAGAUGAAGCAUUGCAACAGUAGGAAAUCCCUUUCUUAAGUUUUGGGGUGCUUUCAGGGUUAGCAUGGUAGGAGCAGAGAACCCAGAAAUGGUCUGUUCAGCUUAGAGUGAAUGUUCUGAGCUUGAGAUCCAUUGCUGAUGCGGCACUGCACUGUGGGGUUAUGAAUUGCUUCUGGCUUGGCAUCAAAGCGGAAAUGCGUGGGAAUGCACACUGGGUUGGCUGGGCUCCUGCCCUGGGUGAAUGUGGUGCAGAUGGUCCUACUGAGGAUGAAAAGCCCGGUGGAGAGAUGUUCAAUAGGUUAAUUGUGCACGUUCUUGGAUGAGUCAGCCUGUAAUUGCUGAUACCAAUAUGUUCGGCGUUGCUGCCUCAGGGGCUUGGUGUGUGAGUCAGAUGAUGGAAAUGAGGAUAAAGUUGGCCUUGUUUCCUGAAAUCUUAGAAACCGAAUAAUAAGUUUUUGAACUUGGUAUGUGAUCAAAAUCACUUUGGGAGAAAGAUGAAAAGACAGAAUGAAAAACUUGGCAUGCAGGUAAAAGCAGAAUUCAGGAACCAGGAAAACAAGAAGUGCUGUAAUGUAAUACAACCCUCUAUUCUGUUAUGACUCAGCAGAAUCACAAGAUUUGAGCUCUGGAGGUGUUUUCUGUCCAUCAAACAAACGAAGCCCACUCCACCAAGGUAGUAUGUAUAUAACAAUUAUCUUCAGCUUCUCAAACAGUCACACACAAGGCAAAAAAACAAACAACUCCCCUCCCCAUGAAACAGGGGCCAAGGUCUGAGAAUACACAUGACAAUUGAAUGGCUGCCAACACUGCUUCUUUCUCGGAGUUUGCCUGAAAGUCUUUUUCUUUUUUUUGUGUGUGAAUAACUAAAGAAGAGGCAGCUGCCACAGCGAAUAGGAUUCAAAAACCCAUUAAUAUUGGUGACUCAUCAGCCAGAUUCUUUUCUCCAUGUCUGAAAAUGUCAGGAAAUUAAAAAGGCACCAUGGCAUCUCCAGGAGACGAAUCCCAAAUCAGAGCUGUAACCACUUCUAAAUAUUCUUGGCCUCAUUUGGAAAUUGGCUGUCACCUGAGACAUGGCCUGGUUUGUAGUCCCAUCUGUGGGGGGCAGGACAGACUAUCAACUCACUGAGUGAGCCACUUAGCCCACCUUCCAGCAGUGCUGGAAUUAUGGGGUUGGAGGUAUUGCUUGUUAUUUGUGGAGUAGAUAAGGUAACUAGGUGUGGCCUGGGUACUCAGUGAGGCUUCCUUUAGAGAAGGAAAGACAGCGGUAGUCAAAAGCUGAAGCCACAUGCACCCUUCACUUAACUAAAUGACCAGCUGAAUAAGACAUAGGUAGAGAUAGAUAUUCAGAAACAUCUGGAUAAUGGCUCUUUAAUUUGUAGUCUUUCUCUGAAGAUUUAAUCCUAACAUUUGAAUUCCCAGUCACUUAAAACAGACCCUAUGAUCUCAUUUUAAUUCAAUGAGCUUCCUUAAUCUACAAUAUGGAGACCAGCCACUUUUUGUGUAUAUAAUGAGCAAAAAAUGUAUCUUCAGAAAAAUAAAAUUUCAAAUCCUUCUUACAACACUGGAAUGAGAAAAAUAUCUAGAAACCAUAAUGUUGCUUGUAAGGUUGUCAGGUUCUUGGCUAAAGUGAAUCUUGGCUAGAAUUCAUUUAUUUAAUGAGCUCAUUUUUAACUGGAGUUCCAGCUCUGAGCAUGGAUGACACGAGUAGCUAAGAAGAGUCUCUGUUCAAAAAGGAAAAACAUGUCUAUGAACAUCUGUACUACAGCAUGGGCUAUGGGAAUCAGGGGAGGUUCAAGGGAGUUUAUAGCAGGUGAGCCAUGCUUUGAUGGACAGGUAGCAAGGGGCAUGUUGAGAUGGUGAGGAACCAUCUGGGUAGAGUGCAGGAGGAGAGGCUUAGAGUUCGGAAAAUAGCCAGGCUGAGGUUUGGUGUCUAGUGGGAAAAUGAAAUUGGAACGGUAAAUUAUGGAAAGCCUUGAAAGCUAAAAGGAACAGUUUGGAUGUCAUUUUGUGGUCAAUGAAAAGUCACUGAAAGUUUCUCAUCAGGAAUAAGAGGAUUCUUUUGUUUAUUUACUUUACCAAUAUUUAUUGAGUACUUACCAUGUGCAUUAAUCACAGGCAUGCUUGACUUAGCAGUGUAAAAAGAAGCCCUUGUUGGCUUGUACUCAAGGAGAGAGAAGACAGAUAAGAAGCAAAGAGAAAAUAGACACAACACAGUAGAGUGAAGAAGUGUGCUAUUUUAGAUAGGACUGUGGUAAGGGAAGGCCUUUCAGAGUCAAUGUCAUUUGGUGAACGAGCUGAAACAAGUGACAGAGUGAGUGAAUCAUGUAUGUCCGAGGGAAAGUCAGUCCAGCCAAUGUCAUUCCAGCAAAUGCCAAGGCCCUGAGGCAGGAACCCAUGCAAGGAAGACCAAGGAGGCCAGUACAGUAGAACAGAAUGAGCAGGAAUAAAUUAGAAGAGAGUGAGGUCAGAGAUGAUUGGGAGCUGGACCCUUUCCAGCCAUUUGAUGGACUUUGGGUUUUACUCUUCAUGAGAUAACAGCCAUUGGAGGGUUUUGAGUACGAAAGUCACUACGUCUCAGUUAUUUUUCUAAGACAUCUCUCUAGAGAAUAGAUUUUAGAAAGACAAGGACAGAAUCACGAAGAGCAGUCAGGAGGUUUUUGCAAUAAUACAAGGGGGAAGUGAAGGUGGGUUAAACCUGGGUGGCAGUGAUGAAGGCGGUGAGUAGGGGUCAGAUUCUGGACACACUUUGAAGGCAGAGCCAGUGGGAUUGCUGAUAGGCUGGAUAGGGCAAGUGAGAGAAACAAAAAGGCCAACAAUUGCUGCAAAGCUUUUGCCUUGAAUAAUAACAGAAUGUAGGUGACAUAACUCAGUUGGGAAAAACUGUGUAAGGAAUGGGUGUGGAGGGAUCAGGAGUUUGGCCUGAGCAAAUUGGAUAUAAGCAGAUUAGUAGCUAUCUACUAAUAUUGAGUAGAUAUUAAGUAGAGAGCAGAGGAUUUGAAUCAGGAGUUUAAGGGGAAGCCAAGGCUGUAUAUAUACAUCUAAGAAUUAUUAGUAUAUAGAUGACAUUUCAAACAUGAAUGUUGUGAGCUCACUUACUGAUUGAAGGAAGAUGUAGAAGUUUCCAGAAUGGAACUAACAGUACUCCAGUGUCUUAAGGCUAAAGAAAUGAGGAAUAUCCCUUUAUUAAUUCUAAGAAGGAGAAGUAGCCAUGUAGCAGAGGAACCAAGAAAAGAGUGGAGUCCUCACAAAUUCCUUGAGGACGGCAUCAUUGUUACCAUCAUCACCUCUUUAAAAAGUGGAUCCAUGUUUCCAUAGCUGGUAUGUAGCAGUGCCCAUGCUACUAACCAUUAUACAUACUGCCUGUCAUGAAGAGGUAAGGGUUACCUUCAUGAGGUGGAAACACAAAAAAGCAUUUUGUUUUAUAACCAGGUUUUUGAGCUCCAUAGUCCAAAGCUAUGUCUGACUCAUGAAUCUACUCCAGUAUUUCUGGAAAGGAGGAAACUCAAUUAUCCUGGUGCUACAUCAAGGAGGGAAGAAUUGAUUUUGAGACUACAGGCUACGUUGUUUCCAGUUCUGGCCCUGGAUUAUUGGACUCAUUGAGUGACAUUUGGCAAGUCACUAAACAUCUCUGGACUCCAGUUUACCCGUCCAAACCUCAGGGGUCACGUGAGUGAGAUCCCUUUCAAGACCCCUUUCUAUUAGGUUACUGCAAAAGUAGUUGCAGUGUUUGCUAUUAAAAGUAACGUCAAAACCACAAUUACUUUUGCACCAACCUAUAUUUCUAGCAUCUAGCAUCCAUACCUCACUAUUUAUGGCAAAUUUAUUCCUAUAUUGAAUUCCUACAAUGCAAUGCACAACUCCCAAAUGUUACAUCUUUUGAGCCCUCUAAAUUACUUUAAAAUAGACAUGCUGAAGGUGACAGCCCUGUAGAUAAAAAUGUUAAAUACUCCAAGUCAGGUUGAACAAUUCCUGAAAACUCAUGUUCUUUGUAAUUUUUCCUUUUGGCUUUAAUUUUCUGGGUAAAGGAAAAAUGCCAACCUUUCCCUCCUCUAAACUCUCACAGCACUUUAUUUUUGUCUGUCUUAGAACAUUGAUUGCUUAAAAACUUAUUUGCACCUACACACCUUAAGUGUUUCCGUUAUGAAGCUGUGGUUGAAUCAACCAUCUCCUCAGUGUAUUCUUUCAAACUCAGUGUAUUCUUUUGCAGGGGCUGCCAGAACAAAGUACCAAUGGGUGGCUUAAACAACAGACAUUUAUUUUCUUGCAGUUCUGGAUUGCUAGAAAUCUGAGAUUAAAGUGUUAGCAGGAUUGAUUUCUUUUGAGGCCUUUGUCCUUGGCUUAUAGAUGGCCAACUUCUGCUGUGUCCUCAUUUGAUUUUCCUUUUGUAUGUCAAUGUCCUAUUCUCCUCUUUUCAUGACACCAGUCAUAUUGGAUAGGCCCAUCGUAAUGACCUCAUUUUAACUUAAUCCCUUUGUUAAAGGACCCAUCUCCAAAUAUAAUCACAUUUUGAGAUACUGGAGUUAGGAUGACAACAUAUGACUUUUCAGGGGACACAAUUCAGUCUAUAAGAUUCAGGAAGCACAAGUCUCCAAUUCCCAACUUGAUCUUGUUUCUGUGCACCACAGUGCUUACUGCUCACCCUCCAUUCCUGAGAAGUUGCAUCUGUACUCAGCUGAUUUAUAGGUAAGGUGGGAUUCAAAAGUGAUAUUAGUAAUACAAGAAAUAGAAGCUAAUCUUUGCAGUUUAGUCAGUACUUAUGCCUAUCUACCAAGAUGUGCUUCACUCCAACUUUAUAGACUUUCUAAACUUUAUGGACUUUACUCUAACUUUAUAUAGACUUCCACUCAAUCUUUAUGGAACUUUGAGGCUCUAACCUAAAAUACAGAUAGUGUGUUUUUGAUGAGCAAAAUCAUUCUUGGCCUUAUGGCAACAUUUUGCUCUGAAUAGGAUUCUGUUGGUUUGAAACACAGCAUUUCACUUGCUCUUUUGGAAGUAUAUUCCAUAUUGUUUACCUGAUGCUCAGAGGUAAAUGUAUAAAAUGUAUAAAAAUGCUUGACCCUUCUCAUACCUGGAGAAAGCCAUGAUCCAUUCAACAUGGUAUUUAAUUUCUGAUAACUAUGACAAAAGAAGGCAGAAAAUAUUGCCUUAACAGCUGUGUUUCCCUGAACAACCCAUUAUAGCUCUCCCAUCUAAGGUUCUUUAAAUCAUUUUGGAGUCUCUUAGAGAAUUUUAAGCCCAAGGAAACUGUUAAGAAAAAGGCUUCCAUAUUUUGAGUUAAAGGUAUUAUUUCAAUGGCAUUCGGGAAACAGCAAAUGAGUUUAGUGUGUUCAUGUUUCAACUUAGGUCCUACUCUUGGAGCUAGAAGAUCAGAGCUUAAGUCACAGGUAGGCUCAGACCUUGGGAAAUUAACUCCACCACUUCUGAGUCUUAAUUCUUGAAGUCAGCAAUUAGUGUAAUGAUUUUCUGCCAUUCUUAACUCUUGGAUAGUGUGAAAUACAAACUGACAGAAUUUGUUAUUUUUAAUAAGUUUAAGAGCGGGCUGGUCAGCUGCUGUCAUCUAGGCUUGCUCAUGGGUCUAUGGUCAGCUGUGAAAGGUCUAGGAUGAUCUCAGGUGGACAACUCAGCUCUGUUCCUUGUGUGAUCUUGUGUUCCAACAGGCUAGUUUCCUCAAAGACACAGGAACAAGAAGGAGAGAAUAGAAUCAAGGUAUUUGGAGGCCUUGGCUCAGAACUAGUGCCCUAUCACUUCUUCCUCAUUGCAUUGGGCAAAACAUGUGACAAGCCAGCCCAGAUUCUCCAGCCAGCGUUAUGUUGAAAUCUCAACUCCAACCCUAAGCCUACCUCUUCCUGGUCAUGAUCACUUCUGCUGGUUGUAGCCUUUAUCACUACUGCCUACCAAAAUUCAAAUUCAAAUAUGGGCCCUCCCCUUCUGCUAUGUCACUUUCCAUCUCUUCUUCUUCUGUUAUCUCUACAGCCACUUGCUUCCCUACCACUGUCCCUGUCUUGGAGGAAUAGGAAGAGAAGACUCCAUUCUUGACUAGAGAAGCUUCAAAAUCAUUUGAAACUGAGUGUUGACACAAGGCAAAAUCAGAUUGGGGCCAUUUUGCAAACCAUCUACUAUCACAAAAAUAACUGAAAAAUUAGGCCAUUGUUCCCAUACAAUUUGUGACCACUGUCUUUCUUAGAAUCUCCAUGUACACAGUAAAACAUUUUCCCAUGAUUUGAUUCUAGUUUCUUGCCCUUUUUAGACGUGGAAACCACGCAGAUAAGCUUCUUACUCUGUAAGGUUACUAUUUGGUGUUUUCUAUCACUUCUAAUUGAAAAGAUACUGCAUUUUUAAAAGUAUAAAAUUUGGGAUGACUCAGGGGAAAUUUUAAGAGUUCCAUUAGAAACCACAUGUGGCAUACUUCACAGUUGCAAUAUAAACACAAUGAAAAGUGUACACUUUAUUCUUUCCCUUCUUGAGAAGGCCAUUAUUAUUUCCAUUUCAUUGUUUUCAAAAUAAUUGAAAAUGGUCAAUUUUAUGUUCCUCUAUGGUAAACAUAUUGAGUGGAAAAUUUCAAAUUUAGCUAUUUCUCCUACUUGAGAACAUGAUUUGCAUUGUAAGUCAUUUGCAAUAAAUGAACUGCUUGGACUAUUAAACUGGAGGAUCUCAGAAUAUAUAUAUUUGUCAGCUAUGAUUUAAAUCCCAC
rnacentral:lncRNA from 10 species